rnacentral:rRNA from 1 species
AUUGAACGCUGGCGGAAUGCUUUACACAUGCAAGUCGAACGGCAGCACGGACUUCGGUCUGGUGGCGAGUGGCGAACGGGUGAGUAAUACAUCGGAACGUGCCCAGUCGUGGGGGAUAACGUAGCGAAAGCUACGCUAAUACCGCAUACGAUCUAAGGAUGAAAGCGGGGGAUCGCAAGACCUCGCGCGAUUGGAGCGGCCGAUGGCAGAUUAGGUAGUUGGUAGGGUAAAGGCCUACCAAGCCGACGAUCUGUAGCUGGUCUGAGAGGAUGAUCAGCCACACUGGGGCUGAGACACGGCCCAGACUCCUACGGGAGGCAGCAGUGGGGAAUUUUGGACAAUGGGCGAAAGCCUGAUCCAGCCAUGCCGCGUGCAGGAUGAAGGCCUUCGGGUUGUAAACUGCUUUUGUACGGAACGAAAAGGUUUGGCCUAAUAAGCUGAGCUCAUGACGGUACCGUAAGAAUAAACACCGGCUAACUCUGUGCCAGCAGCCGCCGUAA